rnacentral:rRNA from 1 species
ACGGAAGGCAGCAGUGGGGAAUAUUGCACAAUGGGCGAAAGCCUGAUGCAGCGACGCCGCGUGAGUGAAGAAGUAUCUCGGUAUGUAAAGCUCUAUCAGCAGGGAAGAAAAUGACGGUACCUGACUAAGAAGCCCCGGCUAACUACGUGCCAGCAGCCGCGGUAAUACGUAGGGGGCAAGCGUUAUCCGGAUUUACUGGGUGUAAAGGGAGCGUAGACGGUUUGGCAAGUCUGAAGUGAAAUGCGGGGGCUCAACUCCUGAACUGCUUUGGAAACUGUCGAACUAGAGUGCAAGAGAGGUAAGUGGAAUUCCUAGUGUAGCGGUGAAAUGCGUAGAUAUUAGGAGGAACACCAGUGGCGAAGGCGGCUUACUGGACUGUAACUGACGUUGAGGCUCGAAAGCGUGGGGAGCAAACAGGAUUAGAUACCCUGGUA